rnacentral:rRNA from 1 species
CCUACGGGAGGCAGCAGUAGGGAAUCUUCCACAAUGGGCGAAAGCCUGAUGGAGCAACGCCGCGUGGGUGAAGAAGGUCUUCUGAUCGUAAAACCCUGUUGUUAGAGAAGAAAGUGCGUGCGAGUAACUGUUCACGUUUCGACGGUAUCUAACCAGAAAGCCCCGGCUAACUACGUGCCAGCAGCCGCGGUAAUACGUAGGUGGCAAGCGUUAUCCGGAUUUAUUGGGCGUAAAGGGAACGCAGGCGGUCUUUUAAGUCUGAUGUGAAAGCCUUCGGCUUAACCGGAGUAGUGCAUUGGAGACUGGGAGACUUGAGUGCAGAAGAGGAGAGUGGAACUCCAUGUGUAGCGGUGAAAUGCGUAGAUAUAUGGAAGAACACCAGUGGCGAAAGCGGCUCUCUGGGCUGUAACUGACGCUGAGGUUCGAAAGCGUGGGUAGCAAACAGGAUUAGAUACCCCUGUAGUC